UACGUAGGGUGCGAGCGUUAAUCGGAAUUACUGGGCGUAAAGCGUGCGCAGGCGGUUUUGUAAGUCUGUCGUGAAAGCCCCGGGCUCAACCUGGGAAUUGCGAUGGAGACUGCAAGGCUUGAAUCUGGCAGAGGGGGGUAGAAUUCCACGUGUAGCAGUGAAAUACGUAGAGAUGUGGAGGAACACCGAUGGCGAAGGCAGCCCCCUGGGUCAAGAUUGACGCUCAUGCACGAAAGCGUGGGGAGCAAACAGG
rnacentral:rRNA from 1 species